rnacentral:rRNA from 1 species
UACAGAGGUGGCAAGCGUUGUUCGGAAUUACUGGGCGUAAAGGGCGCGUAGGCGGUCUUGUAAGUCUCGUGUGAAAUCCCUCGGCUUAACUGAGGAACUGCACGGGAUACUGCUUGACUUGAGUUCGGGAGAGGGAAGCGGAAUUCCCGGUGUAGUGGUGGAAUGCGUAGAUAUCGGGGGGAACACCAGUGGCGAAAGCGGCACCCUGGCGUUAGCCUGACGCUCAUGUGCGAAAGCGUGGGGAGCGAACGGG